rnacentral:rRNA from 1 species
CGCUCUUUGAAUCCAAAAUAUAGAGAGUCGUGCCUGCCCAGUGAUAUUUUCAACGGCCGCAGUACCCUGACUGUGCUAAGGUAGCAUAAUCACUUGCUUUUUAAUUGAAAGCUAGAAUGAAUGGCUUGACGUAAACAUAACUGUCUCUUUUAUACUAUCUAGAAAUUAAUUUCCAGGUGAAGAAGCCUGGAUAUUUUCAAAAGACGAAAAGACCCUAUCGAGCUUAAAAGUAAUUUUAACCUUUUUAUUCAGCUAAACUUGAGUUAAAAAUAAUUUUUUGUUGGGGCGACAGAAGAACAUACAAAGCUUCUUUUAAUUUACAAAACCGAUAGGUUUUAACGAUCCAUUAAUAAUGAAUAGAAGAAAAGUUACCGUAGGGAUAACAGCGUAAUUUCUUUAGAGAGCCCAAAUUGAAGAAGAAGUUUGCGACCUCGAUGUUGGAUUAAAAAAUCUCUUUGAUGCAGCAGUCAAAGCAGAAGGUCUGUUCGACCUUUAAAUUUUU